UCGUUUUCAAAUCUUUUGUGCUUUAGGAUUAGGAUUACAAACUCUAUUCAUAUCAUGCAGCUUCAGAUUCGAAAUUGUGAUUUUGGUCAGCAAACCCAGCUCAAGUCCUCUACAAAUCAAACCUCACAAAGGCAAAUUACUAUAUUGCCUAUUUUCCUUUCAAAUCCAACGGGUCGAUGCAGGCUAGAGCUGGUAUAGAUUACAAAUAUUAGUUUUGCAUAGCACUGUAAUUUUGAUUGGUGAGAUCGGCCUAAUUUAAAAAA